rnacentral:rRNA from 1 species
CUCGUUUGAGGGCCACCCAAGUAGCACAGGGCCCGAGGAAUCCUGUGUGAAUCUGGCGGGACCACCCGUUAAGCCUAAAUAUUCCCUGGUGACCGAUAGUGGAUAGUACCGUGAGGGAAUGGUGAAAAGUACCGCGGGAGCGGAGUGAAAGAGUACCUGAAACCGUGUGCCUACAAGCCGUGGGAGCCUCGCAAUCAGUCUUCGGGCUGGUUGUGGUGACUGCGUGCCUUUUGAAGAAUGAGCCUGCGAGUUUGCGGUGUGUUGCGAGGUUAACCUGUGGUGGGGAGCCGUAGCGAAAGCGAGUCCGAAGAGGGCGACUUGAGUAGCAUGCCCAAGACCCGAAGCGGGGUGAUCUAGCCAUGGGCAGGGUGAAGCGUGGGUAAGACUGCGUGGAGGCCCGAACCCACCAGAGUUGAAAAUCUGGGGGAUGACCUGUGGUUAGGGGUGAAAGGCCAAUCAGACUCCGUGAUAGCUGGUUCUCCCCGAAAUGCAUUUAGGUGCAGCGUCGUGUGUUUCUUGCCGGAGGUAGAGCACUGGGUAGGUGAUGGGCCUUACCGGGUUACUGACCUUAGCCAAACUCCGAAUGCCGGUAAGUGUAAGCGCGGCAGUGAGACUGUGGGGGAUAAGCUCCAUGGUCGAGAGGGAAACAGCCCAGAGCAUCGACUAAGGCCCCUAAGCGUGUGCUAAGUGGGAAAGGAUGUGGAGUCGCCCAGACAGCCAGGAGGUUGGCUUAGAAGCAGCCAUCCUUGAAAGAGUGCGUAAUAGCUCACUGGUCGAGUGAUUCUGCGCCGAUAAUGUAGCGGGGCUCAAGUACACCGCCGAAGUCGUGUCGCCAC